rnacentral:lncRNA from 1 species
GUGGCUGCAGAAGCUGAACUGCAUAGAGCCUCACGGAUUUGUGAAUUAGGAACUUGCAAGGCAGCAGCAGCCAGAAGACAAUUCUUCAUCUGGAAAUCGAAUGACGGAGGAAGAGGUAUUCACCUGCUGAGUCCGACACACUCCCCUCCCGGAGAUCUGCAGGGACCCAGAGCCUGAGACCUUCUCCCACUUCUCCAGGUGGGCAGCCUACCAUGAGGGGGAGAGCCAGCUGAGCACAUCAGGACGUCUGGAUUUGGCCAGAAGACCGGACCUCUCCCCCUGUCAGGACUUCUCAGAGGUAACUUUGAAUCUGGAAAAUGAAAGCUUGAAAACCUCCAUCUUUGUCUUCUUGGUGGACUCCCAGGCCUUUGUUGGGAAAGACCCCCAGCCCACCUGGGUGGGUUUUUCUGUACCUCUUGAACCCCACCAUGUAUGCAGAUGCCUAGUUCGUGUCUCCUGAAUGAAUUUUAAGGAUGAGCCUCAACGUGUCAUGUUAAGCAAUUGUAGUAAUUAAUAUCUUACAAAGAUUUCCACAGGGGUCCUCAUUUGUUGCACAUAACAACAAGUUAAUAUCCUGAGUCUCGUUCUGUCAACCAAGAAAGAGGUUUAGAAGAUUCAUAUGUUGUCCCCAGGGUCUCAGUGUCUCUUUAAUUCAUCCAGAAUGUGUGGAUCGAGCAUCUGCAUUGUGUCAGGUGCUCUUCUAACUCCGAACACGGCGAAUGCUGCCGACACCAACUUCUGCCGCCAGGGAGAUUCUGGGUUAGAGGGGGUGUGUGUGUGGAGGAGGGGGGUGGGGACGGGCCCUGAGACACAGGGCCCCCCCUCCACAGUGUGGAGAAGUGAGGGACGUUUCAUUUCCAGGCAUGAGUGUUGUGGAGACAACAAAAAACAACCCAGUCUAGAGGGAUGGAGUCUUAAACGGAGGGUUCCGGGAGGUCUCAUUAAAAAACUGACGUUCGAACGUGGGUUUCAGGACCUGUGGGAACUAGUCGUUAAGCGUCUGGGAGAAGAGAGUUGCAAUUGGAGGAAAAAGUGAGUGUGAAAGCCCAGCACCCAAUCUGUGCACCCCACGCAUUGGAGGAACACGGCGAGGCAGGGUGGCUGAGGGGGGCCAGCGGAGAGCUGUGAGUCUGGGGGCGGGGGCAGGGGUGGAGUCAGGAGGUCACGGAAACCUGACCAUGUUUAGCCUUGUGGGCUACUGGGGGGACUGCUGGGUGUGGUGGUGGGAAAUCCGUGCAGGGUUUUAAGCAGAUGAGGGACAGGAUCCAUUUGUGAUGCGCAUGCUGGCGUCAGUGUUGAUAGAACGCAGGGCAGGGACGGCGGUGGACCAGCAGACCAUCAGAGGUCGCUGGAGAAACCCACUGCAGGAAUUCAGACAAGGCGUAACGGUAGUCUGCUCCACGGGUGGCUCUGGAGAUGGGGAAGCGUGCUCACAUUCUGACAUGUCUUGGAGACAGAGCCCUUGAGAUGUGCCGGUGGAAUGGACGUGGGGCUUGAGAAGAAGGGAAAGUCCGUCAUGAUGGCAAAGAUUUUAGCGUGCCUGACUAGGGGGAGUUGUCACCAGCUGAGCUGGGGAGUCUGCAGGGGGAGAGGCUUUGGUGCAGAAGGAAGUUGGAAGUUCAGCUUUGAACAGGUUGAAUUUGAGACAAUAAGACACCCAAACAGAGAUGCUAUUUGGUGGCGUGUCCUGAUCUGAUAGUGGAAGACCAUGAUCUGAGCUGGAGAUAGAGCUGAAGUCUUUGGCUUGCGGUUGGUGUUUAAAGGAAUGAACUCAGGUGAGAUCUAGUGAGAGAAGAGUUUUCAGGAUCAGGUCCUGGGGUAUUCUGGGUUUUUGGGGAGCAAGAGAGCCAGUGAAGGAGACCAAGGGAAGCCACUGGGGGGGGGGCGGGGGUGUCAAGAGCGAGGUGUCUCAGGGAUCAUUUCCAAAGGCGGGACAGAUGAUCCAGUGUGUGGAUGGGCCAGGGGAGGUGGGGACCGAGACGUGACUCUUGGAUCAGUGCCCUGCUGGUCAUGGGUGGCUUUGGUAAAACAGCAAAAUAGUGUGUGAUUCUGGCCCAGGUGGAGUGGGCUUGGAGGGAGGAAUCGGAGAGAUGGCUGAUGAGCGUUCUAAGAAGCUUUGCUGCAAAGGGAGCAGGCUGUGGGGUGGUAUCUGGUGGGAUAGGUCAGGCCAAGAGAAGUAAUUUUUAGUGGAAAGCAUCGGCAUUAUGUUUAUAUCCUGAUGGGAAUGAUUCAGUGGAGCAUAAAAAAUUGAUCAUGUAGGACGGGAGGCUACUGGGCCAUUUCUGGAGCAGGCAAGAACAUGCAUUUGGGUGCAAGUGGAGUUGUUUGUUUCCAAAGCAGCACCGAUGGUUCCUGGUGGGGACCAAAAAUAAAUGACAGAGACGUGGAUGCCCAGGUGGCCUCCAGCAAAAGUCCCUUUCUUCUGAUUGCUUCUAUUUUCGUUGUGAAGUAGGAAGCAAAGCCACCAGUGGAGGGUGCCAUGGUGGAAGAGGGCUUGUGACUUUGGAGAGACAAAGUGGGGAGUGAGGAGUCCUCUAGAGAGCGGGAGGUGCAGAGUGAUGGUAGUAAGAGCCCACCCACAGCUCAUGGCCACAGACUGAAAGACCCCAUCAGGGUGAUUGUGCUUUUCUAGACAGCUCAGCUGGGGAGUUGAAGGCACACACACAACAGCUCAAGAACUGAAUUAUCCUUUGGCUGAAUGGAGAGGGGCGAAAGCAGAGGGCGGCCCAAGUGACAGCAUCUUCGGGAGAGAGGUGACCUCGAUUAUGUGGAAAUUAACGCGGUGACCUGAGGACAGAGGAUGUCCACUGGGGAGGCAGUUGGGCUGGGCGAUGGAUGGAUGGAAUGGAGCUGGAGGUGCAGGAGAAGGGCCAGUGCUGUCUUGGCUGGGGAUGCUGGAGGAAGGGGUGGGGGAGACAGAGGCCUGGACCUGGGGAUAUGGGGCUUUUUUGGGAACCUGAAUCCCAGCCUUCUUUCUCCAAGGCUCAGGUCCGCAUCACCCUGCCUGCCUUGCCUUUUCACUGCCUGCUCUUUAUUUCUUAUUUAAAAAAAAAUUUUUUUAGGGCUGCACCUGCAGCAUAUGGAAAGUCCCAGGCCAGGGGCGGAAUCCAAGCCGCAGUUGCAACCUAUGCUGCAGGUGCAGCAACACCAGAUCCUUACCCACUGUGCCAGGCCUGGGAUUGAACCCCAGCCUUCCCCGCCACCGAGCCACUGCAGUCAGAUUCUCAGCCCACUGCCUGCACUUUAAAAGGGCCUCCUUAAGAACUCUUAUUGAAUCCGUACCCUAUCCCAGUACUACCAAAAUACCUUCCUGUCAUUCCAGGAGUGUGUUGCUAAUUUAUUACUGACAUGUCUUUGCUGAGACAGAGGGAGGUCUGCAGCUGGCUCAUCGAUGCCGUGAGGAAAGAGGACCUGUGACAGUUGACAUUGAAGCUGCUGCUCCUCUUCUUCACAGGCCUUGGACACCAAGUGUGUCUGUGUAUUUGUGUGGGUGCACGCAUGCGUGCGUGUGUGUGUGUGUGUGUGCACGUGAGCGUGCCUGCGCCUGUCUGCAUGAGUGGGUGUUUUGCCUCAAUUUAAUGUUUAGGGUUUUUGCAUCUUUCUUUGCAGAAUACGGGUGGUCCAGAGAUAUAUAGAGUUUCCCCAGGUAUGAGGAAAACACGAAAGCACCCUGGAAAAAAUGCACUGCAAGGCCAAGCGGAGCUGUGCAUUCUUUCCCGAAUCUGCCCACACCCACCUCCGAGGACGUUCUGUUUGGGAAUCUGUCUCCAGCAAAUUCCGAGAACUGAAACAGCUUCAUAAUCACAAACGAUUCAUGUUGAAGCAGCCAAAAUACCAGAAAUUGACAUUCCAGCACAGGCAAAGAUAUUUUUAAAUGUUUAGGAUUUAUAAAGAGAAACAGCCUUCGUAGAACAUAAACCACCCCCGGUUCACACUUGUGUGAUAGAGGCAGCUAAAUCUGAAAGAUAAGUUUCUUUCUUUCUUUCUUUCCCCAAGUGAAGAAUGUCAUGGGUGAGAAAAGAAGUCUGCUGUGAAGAAACUUUAACUGGGCCUUGGCUUUGGUUCAGGACUGGGACUGGGCGGCCUUCGGAGAGCUGCAGCCGGCGAGGCUGCACUCAGCCCUGCUCUUGGCUAGUGAAGCUUUAAGGCAAAGGUCAUCUAAAACUCUAACUAGAAUCGAAAAUAUCAAUACCCUGCUUGAGAUCUCAUGGUCUCAGAACGGCUGAGCUGGUGUCCCGAGCAGUAUUUUUAGAAACAGAAACGCUUAAGGAUGCUGUUCGGAGAUGCUCUGGUCCAAGGUCUUAUGAACACAAAUCACAACCACCACCUUUUCCACGCUCAUCUCAGUUGUAGUUUCUUUGUGGGUUUUUGUUGUUGUUGUUGCUGUCGUCGGGUUGUUGUUGUUUGUUUUCGGAGCUAUAUGUGCUGUCUUCUGGGCGAUGCUGUCCAGUCAGUGCUUCCUGGGUGAGUCUCCGUAAGUGUUCUUGGUGUUUCUACUUCUCAGACUCCAGCAGUGGAGGUGGGGACCGCUGGUCGCAGAGAAACUGGACAGUGGGUUUCUCUGGGCGGGCCAAGCGGCAGACACCUAACGAGCACCUGUUGGGUGCAAGGUCAUGUGCUUGGGAAGGAUGGAAGGGGAGACUCGGGGUGUGAUUCUGCUCACAGGGUGCGACUCUGCUCUCUGUUUUCCUUGGACUCUAAUGUCAACGAGCAGAAUAUAUGGAAUUCCAGUUCCCCAAACUCGAGCCCAGGACAGAGCAGAGCUGAGACUGUGAGAAACAGGCCCUGAGGACCAGAUGUCCUCCCAGCUGGGACGUGAUGGAGUGGAGGAGGGAAAGGGACAGACGUGGGGCCGCGUCCGGGGCCACUCAGAUUGGGUUCCACUGUCCUGUGGCGGGUGGGGAACCGUUACGGUUUGUGAAGAGUAGUGACAGGAUUUUUUGAAACAGGGAUUAGGACAGAUGCAUUGGGCACUGUUGUGCUUCGAAUGCAAAGACAAGACUGAAGGUAGGAAACACCCUCCAAAGGGAAAGUUUGAUCAUGUGGCUGAACAAAAAUUAAUGGGAUUCCCCCCGCCCCCGAUUUAAACAAUGCAGUACUUUUUGGGAUUAUUCUCCAAGGCCUAACAACAGCACCUCGUGAACACAUGCAAACGCAUUUACCAAAGAAAUAUCGUGCCUUCUGUUGUACUUAUUACUUUAGUUACAUUUAACUUUGCUUGAUUAAUAUCAGGGAGAAAGCCGUUGGUAUCUGGUUGUAUCGUUUAUUAUAAAUUGGAUCACGUAGUUGAAUUAGCUCAGUUUCAUUUUAAUCCUGACUUUACUUAUUUCAUUACUGAUUUUAUGACUGUAUUGCAUAAUUUAUUUAUCAAUGUUUUAAAAAGUAUCUCUAUCUACCAACAUCUUUACUUGAAUAUAAAAGGAAACUAAAACCUUUUCUAAUAAAAAGGAAUUCUGAUUGGCUCAUAGGUUUGACACUGCAAACUGUCUUGUCUCUUAAAUUAUCGGAAGGAUCUAAACAUGCAAAAAUUAUGGGCAUACAUAAUUGAGACAUGGUUAUAAUAAAUUCUCACAUGAAGGCAUCCUCUAUGGAAAGGUGCAUGGAAAUGACUCCAUGUAUUUUCAGAUGCUUUCUGAGCACAUCGGUUUGAACAAGGUGCACAGCUAAGCAAGCUCCAGUCAGUCCAGCCCUUUGACGUGAUUCUUGGGACGUGGGGCUUGAGUGACCCGUGUCCUGGUGACUUCCCUGCUUCAGAUCAGGCGGUGCCCAGAGGUGUUCUUUCCUUGGAAGACCCGCUGAUUAAAGUUGAUGGCUGAUCAUCGACACUAGUUUUUAUUUUAUGACCACGUCACUUUUGGUACGGAUGCGAAGACCUGCCAAGAACUGAGUUCCAUUUGUCUGAAACAGCAUCUCUUCUCAACAGUGGACUUGUGUGACCAAGGAGGCAAGUCACUACCUCUUUAAAAAAGAAAAGUCAGAACAAAACUGAUCUUAAACUGGGUCUUAUUCUAACCAUACGUGAUAUUUAUCCGUGGAUACACAGGCUUCAGGAGAAAAAAAUCUAAACAGAAUUUUUUUUUUUACUUUGAGAAUUACUAGCUACUUCUGUUAAUCCCUUAUCUUUCAGCUUUAUUGGUAUCUAAUGAUUAAAUAAAAUUAUAUUUAAAAUAGACAGUAAUGAUUUGAUAUAUAUGUGCAUUGGGAAAGGAUUUCUGCAAUCCAAUUAAUUAUUAUGUCCGUUACCUUACGUAUUUACCUUUUUUUUGGGGUGAGAACACAUAAGUUGCAUUUUCUUAGCAAAUUUGUGCGGUGUUGUCCGUGACAGCCGCCCUGCUGUGCUUGAGGUCCUCAGACCUCAUUCAUCUUGUCACUGAAAGUUUACAUCCUCUCACCAAGCCACUCCCUGGUCCCCCCACCCCCCUGCCUCUGGGAGUCACCAUUUUUUUCUCUGUUUCUACAAGUUGUACGUCUUUUUUUUAGAUUCCACAGUAAAUUAUACCAUGUGGUCUUUUUUCUCUGUCCGGCUUAUUCCACCUGCAUGAUCCCUCCAGGCUCCUCCAUGUGGUUGGGGAGGACAGGACUCCCUCUUUUUGUUUUAAGGCUCAAUAAUAAUCCCUCUUUUUUCUAAGGCUGAAGAAUAUGCACUUUAUCCAUCCGUCUGUCCACAGACGCUCAGGUUUUUCCACCCCUUGGCAACUGUGACUAGAGCCGCAGUGAACACAGUGUAGCUCCCUCUUUGCUGCCAUGAUUCUGUCUCCAGAAGCAGGAUGGCUGAACUGCAGGGUAGGUCUAGUCCUAAUAUUUUGAGGCGUCUCCAUACUGUUUUCCGUAGUGGCUGUGCCGGUUUUCAUUCCGUCAUCUGUGCCCAAGGGUUCCCUCUUCUCCACUUUUCUUCCCUUCUCUUGCCAGCUUUUGCUAGUCCUUGUCUUUGGGCAAUAGACAUCCUAACAGAUGAGAGGUGACACUGUGGUUUGGAUUUGUUUCCCUGUUGAGUAGAAUGUUGGGCACCUCUUCACGUACCUGUUGGCCAUUUGUGUGUCUUCUUUGGAAAAAUGUCUAAGUCCUUU